AUGAACGCUGGCGGCGUGCCUAAUACAUGCAAGUCGAGCGAACAGACGAGGAGCUUGCUCCUCUGACGUUAGCGGCGGACGGGUUAGUAACACGUUGAUAACCUACCUAUAAGACUGGGAUAACUUCGGGAAACCGGAGCUAAUACCGGAUAAUAUAUUUAACCGCAUGGUUCAAUAGUGAAAGACGGUUUUGCUUUCACUUAUAGAUGGAUCCGCGCCGCAUUAGCUAGUUGGUAAGGUAACGGCUUACCAAGGCAACGAUGCGUAGCCGACCUGAGAGGGUGAUCGGCCACACUGGAACUGAGACACGGUCCAGACUCCUACGGGAGGCAGCAGUAGGGAAUCUUCCGCAAUGGGCGAAAGCCUGACGGAGCAACGCCGCGUGAGUGAUGAAGGUCUUCGGAUCGUAAAACUCUGUUAUUAGGGAAGAACAAAUGUGUAAGUAACUAUGCACGUCUUGACGGUACCUAAUCAGAAAGCCACGGCUAACUACGUG
rnacentral:rRNA from 1 species